UUCAAAAUCCAGCCAGCGAAGCGUGCGGACGUGAAGCGAAGACAAAAACACAAAAAGCUGAAUAAAGAUAUAAAAGAGAAAGAGCGAGAGCGAGAGCAGCAGCCAAAGCCAAGAACAAAGUGAACGAACUCGAAUCUGUGCGUGUGUGUCGGUGUGCGAGUAACAACAAGCAAAGUCAACAAAGCAUUUAGUUAAUAUUCAAAGAAGAGAAAGUCAUUGAGUCAUCCGUCGAUUGCCCGUAAUUGUGCAAUUCAAAAAAGAGACACAAAGAGAAGGAAGAGCAACAGCAGCAGCGAUGGCAGUGGCGUUUUACAUACCCGACCAGGCGACUCUGCUGCGCAAGGCGGCGCAACAGGAGCAGGAGCUGCUGCGCCUACGCGACUCCCAGUGGCGCUUCCUGGCCACCAUCGUCCUCGAGACCCUACGCCAGUUCAUGGACAGUGCGCCCAGCCAGUGCCUUCCACGGUCGGUGGCCGGCCGCAAGUGCAGCAAAUACCGCAAGCCUUCCCAGUGAGCAGUUUCGAGAGAGCCGAGGAGCGGAGAGGAGCGCCAAAGCAGCAGCAAAGAGAAGAGAACUACAAUCCAGUCCAGAAUUCCAAGUACAAAGUGGAAAAACCCAGUCAUGAAUCAGCCACAUUUUUGUCCAGGAUAGGCAUAUGCUUCAACCCAACAACCACUGCCCCAGGACUCCCAGCCGACAAACCUCUUUUUAGUUUACUCAUCAAAGCGAUUGUGAUAAUGGUUUUGUUUCUACGAAAAAAUUAUACAACAAAAAAUGUCCCUAAAGAAUAUUUUCACACAAAAAAGAAAAGCAUUUUGUACGGAAAACAAAAAAAUAGUUUCUCUAGCAAUAAUUUCAGUUUUUAAGCAUAUUUAAAUGAAUUCCCAGACUCCCAACUCGAUGUAUAUUUAUGUAAUCUGAAAUAGUUUGUAAGUUCAUUUGUAAGCGAUAAUAUUUUUUCCAAGUUUUUUAUGUCAAGAACAAAACACACGAAAGAAGAAUACUGAAACGAAUGUCGACGUUGAAGGUUGGCCAGAAAUUGUAUCAAUUUUUUGCCAAACAUAAAAGUCAAUAAAACAAACAAUGAGAAAAUAUUAAAGACGCAGGCGGAAGCACAUGACGGAACACAAUUGAUGAGUUCUUGC